rfam:Schistosoma haematobium scaffold1783_4, whole genome shotgun sequence.
AUCCAACUGACGAGUCUCAAAUAGGACGAAAUGCACGUUCAUGAU